GAGAGGGAGGAGAGGAGGAGGAGGGGGAGGAGAUAAGGGAGAGGGAGAGAAGGAGAGAGUGAGAGAAAUACCAAAACGUCUGAUGUCAAAUAAGUCAGCAUCAAAUCAGUGAUGCCAAAUAAGCAGUGCCAAAUGGACUGUGCCAAA